rnacentral:rRNA from 1 species
GACGAACGCUGGCGGCGUGCCUAAUACAUGCAAGUAGGACGCUGAAGGAGGAGCUUGCUCCUCUGGAUGAGUUGCGCACGGGUGAGUAACGCGUAGGUAACCUUCCUGGUAGCGGGGGAUAACUAUUGGAAACGAUAGCUAAUACCUCAUACUAGUAGAUGUUGCAUGACAUUUUCUGAAAAGGUGCAAUUGCAUCACUACCAGAUGGACCUGCGUUGUAGUAGCUAGUUGGUGGGGUAACGGCUCAACCAGGCGACGAGACAUAGACGAGCUUGAGUGGAUGUCCGCCACCACGGGAACGAGACAACGCUCAGGAUUCUACCGGAAGGAACAGUAGGGAAAUUUUGGCAAUGGAGCGAAGUCUGAACGCACAAAGCCGGGGGAGUGAAGAAGGUUUUCGGAUCGGAAAAGUCUGUUGUAAGGGAAGAAAGAGUGGGAGAGUAGAAAGUUCACACUGUGACGGUAUCUUAACAGAAAGGGACGGCUAACUACGUG